CACCAUUUUCUGACGAACCAAAAUUUUGGGAAGUUUUAAGCACAUAUGAAAAAUGGCGGCCAAGACGGAAGCGAGUGAACGAAUUCUGUUGUGUAAAGUCACUAGCACUCACCUAAUCCGUAGACUAAACAAGAGUGAGAAUAGAAUAUAACAGAUCGAAAAAUACUUACACUGUAGGGUAGUGUGGAAACGUGAAGGUGACCUCAUAAAACGUAUCUAAGGUUCACACUUGUGUACGUAAAGGUUAGAACGAUGCAGAGAAAGGUCCGCAGCGAUCAAUAAAGACAGGUCACCAUUACGUACGCUGCUUUGGGCAGCGCGGCUCUUCGACAACGCAAUUUGUGUCUUUGCGAAUGUGAUUUUCGUUAUUUGCAUGACGUUAUCACGAGUUUGGUGUCGACUUUGAUCAGUGGAAAAAUGGUAAAAGCGGUGCGACAAUUAAUAUGAAAACUGAAAGUCAUCAAAGACAAUUUGCUUUCAGUUCCUCACGAGUUCCAAGUGCAAUCCUAAUUUCACUUCUUCGAUUGCAAAGAAUCUUUGAGAUUGAAUCUCGAAUCUUUGAUUAUUGGUUUGAAAAUUUUUUGGGCACAUUGAAGACAAGUCAAGAUCGUUCAAUGAAUUUUGAGGUUUCUGUGAGAAGCAAGUGAUGCAGUUUAAAGAGCAAGAAGAGGUCGACCUCCGAAGUUACGGAGGGAGAUGAAACGGUUCGAACUGAAAUCGGCUGCGCCAAACUGCUGCGACCUCCCUUACAAGUGAUAGGUGGAAUUUCGAAAGUAGGACGACGCAGUCUGACUGCAUCGCGAGGAUUCAGUUACCUACGGGUACAACAGAGAUCAGAUACGGCGUUAGGUGACGAUUGUUAAAUUUCCUUAUGGCGAUAAUGGCAAUGAAGAACGUUGGCAUCCAGGGUUUUCGUAAACAACAGUUUUGGAGUUAAUUUGAAAUAUGAAA